GCGAGUCGUUGUAGCAAUACAAGGCGGACUGCUCAGUAACACGUAGUUAACUUAACCUAUGGAUGGGAAUAACCUCGGGAAACUGAGAAUAAUACCCAAUAGACCACAGUGCCUGGAAUGGCCUGUGGUUGAAAUGAUUUAUCGCUGUAGGAUAGGACUGCGGCCUAUCAGCUUGUUGGUGAGGUAAUGGCCCACCAAGGCUAUAACAGGUACGGGCUCUGAGAGGAGAAGCCCGGAGAUGGGUACUGAGACACGGACCCAGGCCCUAUGGGGCGCAGCAGGCGAGAAACCUUAGCAAUGUGCGAAAGCACGACUAGGUUAAUCCGAGUGAUUUCUGUUGAAGAAGUCUUUUGUCAGUCGUAAAACCACAGACGAAUAAGGGGUGGGCAAGUCUGGUGUCAGCCGCCGCGGUAAUACCAGCACCUCGGGUGGUCAGGAGGUUUAUUGGGCCUAAAGCAUCCGUAGCCGGCUUUGCAAGUCUCCGGUUAAAUCCAGCUGCUCAACAGAUGGGCUGCCGGAGAUACUACACAGCUAGGGAGCGGGAGAGGCAGACGGUAUUCUGUGGGUAGGGGUAAAAUCCACUGAUCCAUAGAGGACCACCAGUGGCGAAGGCGGUCUGCCAGAACGCGUUCGACGGUGAGGGAUGAAAGCUGGGGGAGCAAACCGGAUUAGAUAC
rnacentral:rRNA from 1 species